AUCCAGACUCCUACGGGAGGCAGCAGUGGGGAAUAUUGCACAAUGGGGGAAACCCUGAUGCAGCAACGCCGCGUGAGUGAUGACGGCCUUCGGGUUGUAAACUUCUUUUGUCAGGGAAGAGUAGAAGACGGUACCUGACGAAUAAGCCACGGCUAACUACGUGCCAGCAGCCGCGGUAAUACGUAGGUGGCAAGCGUUAUCCGGAUUUACUGGGUGUAAAGGGCGUGUAGGCGGGAAAGCAAGUCAGAUGUGAAAACCAUGGGCUCAACCCAUAGCCUGCAUUUGAAACUGUAUUUCUUGAGUGCUGGAGAGGCAAUCGGAAUUCCGUGUGUAGCGGUGAAAUGCGUAGAUAUACGGAGGAACACCAGUGGCGAAGGCGGAUUGCUGGACAGUAACUGACGCUGAGGCGCGAAAGCGUGGGGAGCAAACAGGAUUAGAUACCCCGGUAA
rnacentral:rRNA from 1 species